UCCUUUUUGGUGUUCAGUCAGUUGUCACUGAUCAGGGAGAACAUAUGAUAUUUGUCCCUUUGAAUUCUUUUUUUUUUUUUUUUUGUGAUGGCCCAAGUUCGUUUGCAUAGUUUAUUUAAAAAGAAACGGCUAGCUGUAAGGGAGAAAGGCAGGCGUUUGCUUUAUUGUGAAGAAAGCAGUUACAAAAGAGAAGUAAUAAAUAUGAUAUUAGGAAAUAUAUUUUGUAAAAAUAUAGCAAGAUGUAAAAGUCUGUCCCCGGGGAAGGCCUUCUUCACCCAGACACCUGGGAGCGAGCCAGGGCUUAAAAAGCCUGGACCUGAUCCGCAGGGAUGCCAAGGGCCUGUCGUAGAAUCUGCACAGAGUCGGCAUUGACAUUCUUCUACUCAUUAUUAUUACUUCUAAUGAUUCUUUCAUUCUUACAGUUAAGCAGCGUGGUGUGAGGAGUAGGAAAAAGGCUGAAACGAGAAGACGGGGACGGGGACGGAAUUCUUUUUUGAGAUUUAUUCAUUUGUUUUUUUUUUUUAUUUAGUAAAUAUUAAUUUCCAAAGUACAGUUUAUGGAUUACAAUGGCUUCUCCCCCCCAUAAUUUCCCUCACAUUCACACCCCUCCCAUCUCCCGCUCCCUCUCCCAUUCCAUUCACAUCAAGAUUCAUUUUCAAUUAUCUUUAUAUACAGAAUAUCAAUUGAGCAUAUAUUAAGUAAAGAUUUCAUCAGUUUGCACCCACACAGAAACACAAAGUGUAAAAUACUGUUUCAGUACUAGUUACAGCAUUACUUCACAUUGGACACCACUUUAAGGACAGAUCCCACAUGAGAAGUAAGUACACAGUGACUCCUGUUGUUGACUUAACAAUUUGACACUCUUAUUUAUGGCGUCAGUAAUCUCCCUAGGCUCUAGUCAUGAGUUGCCAAGGCUAUAGAAGCCUUUUGAGUUUGCCGACUUUGAUCUUAUUCCGACAGGGUCAUAGUCAAAGUGGAAGUUCUCUCCUCCCUUCAGAGAAAGGUACCUCCUUCUUUGAUGGCCCCAUUCUUUCCACUGGGAUCUUACUCGCAGAGAUAUUUCAUUUAGGUCCUCUUUUUAUUUUUCCCCCCAGAGUGUCUUGGUUUCCAUGCCUAAAAUACUCCCAUGAGCUCUUCAGCCAUACCUGAAUGCCUUAAGGGCUGAUUCUGAGGCUAGAGUGCUAUUUAGGACAUCUGCCUUUCUAUGAGUCUGCUGCGUAUCCUGCUUCCCAUGUUGGAUCAUUCUCUCCCUUUUUGAUUCUAUCAGUUAGUAUUUGCAGACACUAGUCUUUUUGUGUUAUCCCUUUGACUCUUAGACAUAUCAGUGUAAUCAAUUGUGAACUGAAAUUGAUCACUGGGACUAGUGAGAUGG
rnacentral:lncRNA from 1 species